UGGGAUGCGCCGAUUUUUACUAGUCGGCACUCCUAAAAUGUAGCUCUUGGCUGUUUCCUACUACAGCAGUUUGGCCUAAUAGUUUUUGACUUUUUGUCAAAUCUUUGGCUACAUUUGCUUCUGGAAAUCAGUCUUGAUAAUACAGAAAACUCAUUUCAAACUUUGAUCUGAAAUCAGGUAGGGCUACCCGCUGAACUUAA
rnacentral:misc_RNA from 1 species